GACGAACGCUGGCGGUGUGCUUAACACAUGCAAGUCGAACGGAAAGGCCCUGCUUUUGUGGGGUGCUCGAGUGGCGAACGGGUGAGUAACACGUUAGUAACCUGCCCUUGACUUUGGGAUAACUUCAGGUAACUGGGGCUAAUACCGGAUAGGAGCUCCUGCUGCAUGGUGGGGGUUGGAAAGUUUCGGCGGUUGGGGAUGGACUCGCGGCUUAUCAGCUUGUUGGUGGGGUAGUUGCUUACCAAGGCUUUGACGGGUAGCCGGCCUGGGAGGGUGACCGGCCACAUUGGGACUGAGAUACGGCCCAGACUCAUACGGGAGGCAGCAGUGGGGAAUAUUGCACAAUGGGCGGAAGCCUGAUGCAGCGACGCCGCGUGCGGGAUGACGGCCUUCGGGUUGUAAACCGCUUUCGCCUGUGACGAAGCGUGAGUGACGGUAAUGGGUAAAGAAGCACCGGCUAACUACGUG
rnacentral:rRNA from 1 species